GAGGAAUAUUGGUCAAUGGGUGCAAGCCUGAACCAGCCAUCCCGCGUGAAGGACGACUGCCCUAUGGGUUGUAAACUUCUUUUGUAUAGGGAUAAACCUACCCUCGUGAGGGUAGCUGAAGGUACUAUACGAAUAAGCACCGGCUAACUCCGUGCCAGCAGCCGCGGUAAUACGGAGGGUGCAAGCGUUAUCCGGAUUUAUUGGGUUUAAAGGGUCCGUAGGCGGACUUAUAAGUCAGUGGUGAAAGCCUGUCGCUUAACGAUAGAACUGCCAUUGAUACUGUAAGUCUUGAGUAUAUUUGAGGUAGCUGGAAUAAGUAGUGUAGCGGUGAAAUGCAUAGAUAUUACUUAGAACACCAAUUGCGAAGGCAGGUUACCGAGAUAUAACUGACGCUGAGGGACGAAAGCGUGGGAGCGAACA
rnacentral:rRNA from 1 species